rnacentral:rRNA from 1 species
AUUGAACGCUGGCGGCAGGCUUAACACAUGCAAGUCGAGCGGAGAGAGGUAGCUUGCUACUGAUCUUAGCGGCGGACGGGUGAGUAAUGCUUAGGAAUCUGCCUAUUAGUGGGGGACAACAUUUCGAAAGGAAUGCUAAUACCGCAUACGUCCUACGGGAGAAAGCAGGGGAUCUUCGGACCUUGCGCUAAUAGAUGAGCCUAAGUCGGAUUAGCUAGUUGGUGGGGUAAAGGCCUACCAAGGCGACGAUCUGUAGCGGGUCUGAGAGGAUGAGCCGCAACACUGGGACUGAGACACGGCCCAGACUCCUACGGGAGGAAGCAGUGGGGAAUAUUGGAAAAUGGGCGCAAGCCUGAUCCAGCCAUGCCGCGUGUGUGAAGAAGGCCUUAUGGUUGUAAAGCACUUUAAGCGAGGAGGAGGCUACUUUAGUUAAUACCUAGAGAUAGUGGACGUUACUCGCAGAAUAAGCACCGGCUAACUCUGUGCCAGCCGCCGCCGUAA